AUUGAACGCUGGCGGCAGGCCUAACACAUGCAAGUCGAGCGGCGCGGCAGACGGGGGCGUGAUGCCUAGGAAUCUGCCUGGUCCUGGUGGAUAACGUUAGCAAACGGUAGCUAAUGCCGAAUCCUAUCAGCAUAACAUAGGUCGGAUUAGCUAUAUGGUGGGGUAAAGGCCAACCAAGACGACGAUCCGUAACUGGUCUGAGAGGAUGAUCAGUCACACUGGAACUGAGACACGGUCCAGACUCCUACGGGAGGCAGCAGUGGGGAAUAUUGGACAAUGGGCGAAAGCCUGAUGCAGCCAUGCCGCGUGUGUGAAGAAGGCCUUCGGAUUGUAAAGUACUUUAAGUGGGGAGGCGUUACCCACAGAAGAAGCACCGGCUAACUUCGUGCCAGCAGCCGCGGUAAUAC
rnacentral:rRNA from 1 species